CCUACGGGAGGCAGCAGUGAGGAAUAUUGGUCAAUGGACGAGAGUCUGAACCAGCCAAGUAGCGUGAAGGAUGACUGCCCUAUGGGUUGUAAACUUCUUUUAUAUGGGAAUAAAAUGUUCCACGUGUGGGAUUUUGUAUGUACCAUAUGAAUAAGGAUCGGCUAACUCCGUGCCAGCAGCCGCGGUAAUACGGAGGAUCCGAGCGUUAUCCGGAUUUAUUGGGUUUAAAGGGGGCGUAGGUGGAUUGUUAAGUCAGUUGUGAAAGUUUGCGGCUCAACCGUAAAAUUGCAGUUGAAACUGGCAGUCUUGAGUACAGUAGAGGUGGGCGGAAGUCGUGGUGUAGCGGUGAAAUGCUUAGAUAUCACGAAGAACUCCGAUUGCGAAGGCAGUUCACUGGACUGCAACUGACACUGAGGCUCGAAAGUGUGGGUAUCAAACAGGAUUAGAUACCCUAGUAGUC
rnacentral:rRNA from 1 species